rnacentral:rRNA from 1 species
UACGUAGGGUGCGAGCGUUAAUCGGAAUUACUGGGCGUAAAGCGUGCGCAGGCGGCGCGUUAAGACAGGUGUGAAAGCCCCGAGCUUAACUUGGGAAUUGCGCUUGUGACUGGCGUGCUGGAGUGUGGCAGAGGGAGGUGGAAUUCCACGUGUAGCAGUGAAAUGCGUAGAGAUCCGGAGGAACACCGACGGCGUAGGCAGCGCCCUGGCCGUUUCCUGACGCUGAAGCACGAA